rnacentral:misc_RNA from 1 species
UUAACUAUUAUAUAGUACUCAGACAGCACAAAUUCAAGGGUUUUGGAUCCUCUGGCCAGCCCGAGGGCCGGCCAAAGCAACUGCGGUUUGGUAAACAAAGGGUGAGAAUGGGACCGUGAAGGUCACCGAUUCUGUAAUGAUCCUUCCGCAGGUUCACCUACGGAAA